UACAGAGGUCUCAAGCGUUGUUCGGAAUUACUGGGCGUAAAGGGCGCGUAGGCGGCUUUUCAAGUGACGGGUGAAAUCCCUCGGCUUAACCGAGGAACUGCCUGUCAGACUGAAGGCUUGAGACCGGGAGAGGUGAGUGGAAUUCCCGGUGUAGUGGUGAAAUGCGUAGAUAUCGGGAGGAACACCAGUGGCGAAGGCGACUUCCUGGCCUGUUCUUGACGCUGAGGCGCGAAAGCUAGGGUAGCAAACGGG
rnacentral:rRNA from 1 species